rnacentral:rRNA from 1 species
UUUGAUCGCGGCUCCAGGUCCAGACGCACAACGGGAUCUUUACACGUACAGUCAGAACGGCAGCACGGACUUUCGGUCUGGUGAGUGGCGACGGGUGAGUAAUGUAUCGGAACGUACUACAAAUGGCAGGGGAUAACUACGCGAAAAGCGUAGCUAAUACUAUACGCCCUUCGGGGAAAGCGGGGGACCUUCGGGCCUCGCACUAUUAAACGGCCGAUAUCGGAUCGCUGGUUGGUGGGGUAACGGCUCGCCAAGGCGACGAUCCGUAGCUGGUUUGAGAGGACGACCAGCCACACUGGGGACAGAGGACACGGCCAGACUCCUGGGAGGCAGCGGUGGGGAAUUUUUGGACAAUGAAGCCCUGAUCCAGCCAUCCGUGUGGUAGAAGGCCUUCGGAUUGGCAAGCACUUUUGGCAGGAAAGAAACGGCACGGGAUAAUACCCCGUGCAACUGACAAAUGCCCUGCCGUCAGCGCGGCCCCAACUGCGUACCAUGACGCGGUAAUACGUAGGGUGCAAGCGUUAAUCGGAAUUACUGGGCAUGCUGGCGAUGUGCAGGCGGUUCGGAAAGAAGAUGUGAAAUCCCAAGACUUAACUUUGGAACUGCAUUUUUCGCUACCGAGCUAGAGUGUGUCAGAGGAGGUGGAAUUCCGCGUGUAGUGAAGUAUGAAUCUGGGAGGAACUUACCGAUGGCGAGCAGCCUCCUGGGAUAACGCAGUGCUCAUGCACGAAGCGUGGGGAGCAAACAGGAUUAGAUACCCUGACGAUCGCCCUAAACGAUGUCAACUAGCUGUUGGGGCCUUCCGGGCCUUGGUAGCGCAACUAACGCGUGAAGUUGACCGCCUGGGGGAUACGGUCGCAAGAUUAAAACUCAAAGGAAUUGACGGGGACCCGCACAAGCGGUGGAUGAUGUGGAUUAAUUCGAUGCAACGCAAAGAAAAACCUUACCUACCCUUGACAUGUCUGGAAUCCCGAAGAGAUUUGGGGAGUGCUCGCAAGAGAACCGGAACACAGGUGCUGCAUGGCUGUCGUGUGACUCGUGUCGUGAGAUGUUGGGUUAAGUCCCCGCAACAGGCAGCCGCAUCGUGGUUGCUACGAAGGGCAUAAUGAGACUGCCGGUGACAAACCGGAGGAAGGUGAGGAUGACGUCAAGUCCUCAUGGCCCUUAUGGGUAGGGCUUCACACGUCAUACAAUGGUCGGGACAGAGGGUCGCCAACCCGCGAGGGGGAGCCAAUCCCAGAAACCCGAUCGUAGUCCGGAUCACAGUCUGCAACUCGACUGCGUGAAGUCGGAGCUCGCUAGUAAUCGCGGAUCAGCAUGUCGCGGUGAAUACGUUCCCGGGUCUUGUACACACCGCCCGUCACACCAUGGGAGUGGGUUUUACCGAAGUAGCCUAACCGUAAGGAGGGCGAUUACCACGGUAGGAUUCAUGACUGGGGUGAAAUCGUAACAAGGUAA